AAAAUUCGAUUUCUUCUAUCAUUA
rnacentral:miRNA from 1 species